rnacentral:rRNA from 1 species
GCGGACGGGUGAGUAAUGCUUAUGAAUCUGCCUAUUAGUGGGGGACAACAUCUCGAAAGGGAUGCUAAUACCGCAUACGUCCUACGGGAGAAAGCAGGGGAUCUUCGGACCUUGCGCUAAUAGAUGAGCCUAAGUCGGAUUAGCUAGUUGGUGGGGUAAAGGCCUACCAAGGCGACGAUCUGUAGCGGGUCUGAGAGGAUGAUCCGCCACACUGGGACUGAGACACGGCCCAGACUCCUACGGGAGGCAGCAGUGGGGAAUAUUGGACAAUGGGGGGAACCCUGAUCCAGCCAUGCCGCGUGUGUGAAGAAGGCCUUAUGGUUGUAAAGCACUUUAAGCGAGGAGGAGGCUACUCUAGUUAAUACCUAGGGAUAGUGGACGUUACUCGCAGAAUAAGCACCGGCUAACUCUGUGCCAGCAGCCGCGGUAAUACAGAGGGUGCGAGCGUUAAUCGGAUUUACUGGGCGUAAAGCGUGCGUACGCGGCUUAUUAAGUCGGAUGUGAAAUCCCCGAG